rnacentral:rRNA from 1 species
UGCAAGUCGAACGAUGAACCGCUUUCGGGCGGGGAUUAGUGGCGAACGGGUGAGUAACACGUGGGCAAUCUGCCCUGCACUCUGGGACAAGCCCUGGAAACGGGGUCUAAUACCGGAUAUGACUGUCCAUCGCAUGGUGGAUGGUGUAAAGCUCCGGCGGUGCAGGAUGAGCCCGCGGCCUAUCAGCUUGUUGGUGAGGUAGUGGCUCACCAAGGCGACGACGGGUAGCCGGCCUGAGAGGGCGACCGGCCACACUGGGACUGAGACACGGCCCAGACUCCUACGGGAGGCAGCAGUGGGGAAUAUUGCACAAUGGGCGAAAGCCUGAUGCAGCGACGCCGCGUGAGGGAUGACGGCCUUCGGGUUGUAAACCUCUUUCAGCAGGGAAGAAGCGAAAGUGACGGUACCUGCAGAAGAAGCGCCGGCUAACUACGUGCCAGCAGCCGCGGUAAUACGUAGGGCGCAAGCGUUGUCCGGAAUUAUUGGGCGUAAAGAGCUCGUAGGCGGCUUGUCACGUCGGUUGUGAAAGCCCGGGGCUUAACCCCGGGUCUGCAGUCGAUACGGGCAGGCUAGAGUUCGGUAGGGGAGAUCGGAAUUCCUGGUGUAGCGGUGAAAUGCGCAGAUAUCAGGAGGAACACCGGUGGCGAAGGCGGAUCUCUGGGCCGAUACUGACGCUGAGGAGCGAAAGCGU